rnacentral:rRNA from 1 species
GCUUAACGCGAAGAACCUUACCUACUCUUGACAUCUAGCGAAGAUUGCAGAGAUGCAGUUGUGCCUUCGGGAACGCUAAGACAGGUGCUGCAUGGCUGUCGUCAGCUCGUGUUGUGAAAUGUUGGGUUAAGUCCCGCAACGAGCGCAACCCUUAUCCUUAGUUGCCAGCGAGUAAUGUCGGGAACUCUAGGGAGACUGCCGGUGAUAAACCGGAGGAAGGUGGGGACGACGUCAAGUCAUCAUGGCCCUUACGAGUAGGGCUACACACGUGCUACAAUGGUACGUACAGAGGGAGGCAAGCUGGCGACAGUGAGCGGAUCUCUUAAAGCGUAUCGUAGUCCGGAUCGCAGUCUGCAACUCGACUGCGUGAAGUCGGAAUCGCUAGUAAUCGCAAAUCAGAAUGUUGCGGUGAAUACGCUCCCGGGUCUUGUACACACCG